CGCGUAGGUGGCCAAUUAAGUCAAAUGUGAAAUCCCCGAGCUUAACUUGGGAAUUGCAUUCGAUACUGGUUGGCUAGAGUAUGGGAGAGGAUGGUAGAAUUCCAGGUGUAGCGGUGAAAUGCGUAGAUAUCAGGAGGAAUACCGAUGGUGAAGGCAGCCAUCUGGCCUAAUACUGACACUGAGGUGCGAAAGCAUGGGGAGCAAACAGGAUUAGAUACCCGCGUA
rnacentral:rRNA from 1 species